GUGCCAGCAGCCGCGGUAAUACAGAGGGUGCGAACGUUGCUCGGAAUCAUUGGGCGUAAAGCGCGUGUAGGCGGUUUGUUAAGUCGGUUGUGAAAGCCCAUGGCUCAACCAUGGAAGUGCGUCCGAAACUGGCAAACUAGAGUCCCGACGAGGAUGGCGGAAUUCCCAGUGUAGAGGUGAAAUUCGUAGAUAUUGGGAGGAACACCGGUGGCGAAGGCGGCCAUCUGGGAGGGUACUGACGCUGAGACGCGAAAGCGUGGGGAGCAAACAGGAUUAGAUACCCUGGUAGUCCACGCCGUAAACGAUGAGCACUAGGUGUUGUGGGUAUUGACCCCUGCAGUGCCGACGCUAACGCAUUAAGUGCUCCGCCUGGGGAGUACGGCCGCAAGGCUAAA
rnacentral:rRNA from 1 species